AGGCUUUGUGGACCAAGGGGAUUAGCACUGCUUUCCCAAGACAGGUUAUGUGAUUAUGAUCUUCAGGCUUUGCCUAUCCAGGUUGAGCAGUUGAUGGAAUGGAAUGAUGUUGAGCGGGUGUUCCUUUGACAUUUCAAGAAAUGUAACCUUGAGUAUACAUCUUCAUAUGUAUAUCUCACACGUUUUCCGCUGCAAAACACUUUGAUUAGGAUAACUUUAUGUUAUGAAAUUGCGACACGUGUUAUUGGGUAACCCACCUUAAUCAGUUCUCAUUUAUGUAUAUGUUUUAUAAGUAUCCAAAUAAUCAUAUAUGAUCCUAGCAUUUUAUCUAUGAGUGACAUUUCUAUA